rnacentral:rRNA from 1 species
CCUACGGGAGGCUGCAGUGGGGAAUCUUGCACAAUGGAGGAAACUCUGAUGCAGCGACGCCGCGUGAGCGAUGAAGCCCUUCGGGGUGUAAAGCUCUUUCGACGGGAACGAUAAUGACGGUACCCGGAGAAGAAGCUGCGGCUAACUACGUGCCAGCAGCCGCGGUAAUACGUAGGCAGCGAGCGUUGUUCGGAAUUACUGGGCGUAAAGAGUGUGUAGGCGGUGCUCUAAGUUCGGUGUGAAAUCUCCUGGCUUAACUGGGAGGGUGCGCCGGAAACUGGGGUGCUCGAGCGUGGGAGAGGAAAGCGGAAUUCCUGGUGUAGCGGUGAAAUGCGUAGAUAUCAGGAGGAACACCUGUGGUGUAGACAGCUUUCUGGACCAUUGCUGACGCUGAGACACGAAAGCGUGGGUAGCAAACAGGAUUAGAUACCCCAGUAGUC